UGUUAGGCCAGCUUGAGCGCCGAAUUCAGUUGUGUUUUACGGGUAUCCACGAGCGGUUCGGUUUUACAGACGAACUGGCGCAUGUUGGACGGCAGCGAAACGACGGACGACGCGACGGUGUAAAGGUGGCAAAGACGACGAGACGCGCAGUGUACCGUGGCGCUACGAAUUGUGUGCAAAGUGUAGAGAAACAAAACGAAAUAGUAAUAAUAAAUUUUUUUUUGUGUGAAAGAGUGGUGUGACGCAGCAUACCUUUUGGAGUCAAAGAAUUGCUGGGCUCACCCAAGAGCUGCAGAAGAAGCAAUUUCACAAAAUCACCAAAGAAUAUCGCUUUCUGUGUAAAGGCAUUUAUUACGUGACAAAAAUCGCACUUUUAGAUGUGGAUCUUGAUUAAAAAUCAUAGAAAAGUAUGCAAGUAGUGUUUAAGAGUAAUUGUGUGUCCCAUAAAUGCGUAAAUGUGUAAGUGUGAGCUCGUGAAAUAACUAACGGAAAAAAACCGCUUGAAUCGUGUUGUGUUUACAGCGGCAGUAAGCGGCGGAUGCGCACAUACAAAUUGACCAUCAACGUUGUAAUCAAAACGUUUGCCGAUUAGCUGAUUGUGCGAACAUUCCAUACUAAUUUACGAUUAUAUUUUCGUCAGGCAGCAAAAGUUAACUACAGGCAAUGCGGCAGCCAGCCAUAUUAACAUUUCAACAACGUGCACAGCAAUAGGCAAGCGCAGUGGCUAA